GACGAACGCUGGCGGCGUGCUUAACACAUGCAAGUCGCACGAAGUGGUGAACGGGUGAGUAACGCGUAAUCAACCUGCCCUUCAGUGGGGGACAACAGUUGGAAACGACUGCUAAUACCGCAUACUGAAGGAGGGGAUUGAGUCUGCUUGGGUAGUUGGAGGGGUAACGGCCCACCAAGGCGAUGAUCAGUAGCCGGUCUGGUAGGAGGAACGGCCACAGUGGGACUGGGACACGGCCCAGACUCCUACGGGAGGCAGCAGUGGGGAAUCUUCCGCAAUGGACGAAAGUCUGACGGAGCAACGCCGCGUGAGGGAUGACGGCCUUCGGGUUGUAAAGCUCUGUUAAUCGGGACGCGGUACCGGAAUAGAAAGCCACGGCUAACUACGUGCCAGCAGCCGCGGUAAUUC
rnacentral:rRNA from 1 species